rnacentral:rRNA from 1 species
CGGCAACAGCUCAAAUUUGAAAUCUGGCCUUCGGGUCCGAAUUGUAAUUUGUAGAGGAUGCUUCGGGUGUGGUGCCGGUCUAAGUUCCUUGGAACAGGACGUCAUAGAGGGUGAGAAUCCCGUAUGUGACUGGUUGCCUUCGCUCAUGUGAAGCUCUUUC